rfam:Populus trichocarpa scaffold_1_contig_372, whole genome shotgun sequence.
UCAUGAACUCGAGAUAUGGGCUGAAUAUUGAAAAGUGUUUGGGCUGCAAGACAGAUUCAGACUUCUCUUUUGAUGCUAAGAUUUGGACUUCCAAAAUGCAGAAUUGAGUCUUGGAUUCUUCCUGAAUGUUAUAGGCCUAUGUCUUAGCUUUCUAGC